GUCUCAUUCUUACCCUCUGCUCAUUAUCUGCUCCAUGCAUCUAAUCUAAGCUAUGGAACCAGAGAGGUCGGCGCCAUCCAGUCCCUGCCUUGAUGUUCAGCCUUUGCCGGCAGAAUUACAUGAAACAAAUACAGAGUUUGGUGAGGAAAGUAUAAUAUACUCAGACAUCAGAUUUCAUUGCUCUUCAAGUAUUCAGAAGAGAAAAAUAACUAGGAUUUUUAAGACAAAAGUGUCUCCGUGGUGCAUUGCUACAGUAGUAUUUGCCUGCCUUUAUUUAAUUGUUCUAGUACAAGCAGCAAUCAUGACAGCUAAGGUUCAAUGUCUAGAAGGGAUUCUGAAGGCACAAGGAAUCAGCGAUCAAAAUGAGACUGGAUAUUGCAGAGUAAUUUAGCAAAACAGGUAAUUGGUUCUCCUCUGAAGAAAAUUUAUAUUUUAUUUCUGCUGAAAAUAAAAUCAUGGCAGCCAGGAAAUUGUUCUGAAGCACUGAACUCCCUUCUUAUCAAGACAAAUAGCAAGGAAAAACUGGAAGUGUUUGGUGUGAUAUUCAUUCCUAUAGUUUCUUACAUAGAAGAAAAUCAUAGAGACUUUUAAAAAUAUCUUGUAUUCAUUCAAGCAUUCUAAACUUCAUGUAUUAUAAUUGGAAAUUCUUAAUCAAACCCAAAAUAUGAAAAUAUGAACUUAAAAUUAUUAUGUUUUUUUAAGUUUUAAAAACAUUUGCAUAUAGAAGUAAAUAUUAAUAUAUACAAAUUUCAGACCUUGGUAAAUAAAUGGAGGGAAAAUUUACAUAGGACAUAAAACUAAAGGGAAAAUAGUCAAAACUGCCACCUAAAAAAUAGCUAACGUGUAUUAAUUGCUUCUCAUCCUCAUAAUAAUACUUGUGAUUACUUGUACUAAAGCAUGUAUUGCCCCAGUAAUCCUCUGAGGCAGUACUCUGAUUAUUGUUGUCAUAUUAAUAAAGAAACUGAGGCCCAAAGAAGAUGAGAAAUUUUCCCAAGAUUGCAUGGCUAGUAAAAUUAGAACCAAGAGUUAAGCCAGUAAAGUCUUAUUGCAGAGAUUCUGAGCAUAACCAUUAUGCUGUGCUGACCCCAGAAGAAGACAUCAUAUAAAACCAAGUUUUAAGAAUAUUGCCACUUUGGAAAUAGGUCACUCAUGCAAGCAGACUGACAUUUUUCUCCCCUGGAUAUAUUUUUCAGGGAGAAAAAGAUGAGAAAAAGAACUUUCAAAAAUCUAAUAUUAUAAUAGCUCUUCCCCAGGAGUGACGAUUUUUAUACUAAUUAUUCUUUGGAAUAUGAAAAAACAAAGAAAUGAACAGAAGUAUGUGAGUAUAGGCAGACCUAAAGAAUAUAGGUCUCCUUUAUUUUUAGUUCUUCUCCACUAUGCAGUUAUUGUUUUUCUUUGCAUUCAAGUUCUGUUAUUGCCUUUAAUAAAGACUUCAACCCAUAUCAGUGAUAGUAAAUUUAUGGCAUAUAUGCUGACAUUUUCCAUAUGGUGCUUUUGGAAUUCCUCACACUCGUAACAUUCAUUCGUCCUGAGGCUGGAUUCCACUUUGAAUAAUUUUCAGCAAAGCACACCUGAAGUUUCCCCCGUUACACUGCCCUCAUCUCAUCCACAUACUGUGUAAACUUUUAUACACAGAUCACUCGUGAACUGUUUCAGGAAGAACAAGUAAAAAAAUGUAUAUGAAGAGUAAUGAGUUUGCUAAGGCAGUGUCUCCUAAUGACCUAUUACCUCAGAAUUUGCUUUGGUAAAGCACAGUUUCUGCAUAACUUAUAGUGGAAGAGAGAAUGUUUGCUAAUUUCCAAAACUGACAGAAGACACCAAACUACAUAUUGACAAAGCCUUAUGAACCCCAGGAGGGUGAACAAAAUGAAAACACAGUUAUGUGUAUCAUGUAUAAUGACUGAAAACCAAAUACAUAUUAAAAAGCUGAUGGUUGUGCAGCAUGGAGAAUAUAGUCAGUGAUUCAGUAACAUCUUUCUACGUUGAUGGUAACUGCACUAGUAGGGGUGAGGAUUUAAUAAUAUGGGUAACUGUUGAACCACUGGGUUGUACAUUUAAAACCAAUAUAAGAUUGUGUUUACCAAUGACUCUUCAAUAAAAAAAAAGCUGGAAAGCAAGCAGAGCAAAACAGAAUUUACCCUCAAAGGAGCAAUUGGCAGCUAAUUUAUAAAAGAAAAAGAAAACAUAGGAGCCAUAUAAUUACUUACAGACAACUGACAUUCUGAAAUUGUAUUCCCAGAGAAAAUAUUCCAUGAGAAUCAUUUGAGUAGAUAGUCAUAUUUCAUUCAUGAAAUAGAGAUAGUUUAAGACAAGUAGAGAAAAAAAUUGUUCAUCACCUUAGGUCUACACUAGGAUAUACACUGCAAUGUCCUUUUAGGUGUAAGAGAAUGAUCCUGAAAGGAGCAUCAGAGAUUCAGGAUGAGGGGCAAUGAAAUAGGUAAAUGUGGGUGUACAUCUAAAGGAAUGGUGAUUUAUAAAAAUAUAAUAUUAAUGUCUAUGAUUUUAAAUAGAAUAAAAUUACAGUAUACUGUCUGGCAGGUAGAUACAGACUGCAGCAGCAAACUCUUUGAAGCUCUUGCACAAGGUAUUAACACCUUAUUUUAAUCCUACAUGCACACAGUAAUUUAUUAAUUAAUCAUGUUAAUUAAAAAUACACAUGGAAACAUUGUAUUUUGAAAUCAUGUUGAAUUUGGUCUUGUCAACUCUGGUUUCUAAAACCUCUUCCAAUGAGAAUCCUAACAAGAUUAAUAUUUUGCAUUAUAAAACCUGUAUUUGCACAUCUGUUCUUGUAGGUAGAUGUCUCCUUUUGUAAAACUGUUAUUUAGCCAGUGUCAAACACUGAUAAGGAAAAUAAAAACAUCCAGAUCUUUCAUAUUGUUACAUAUAUUUAUUUCACUUCAGUAUGAGUAUCCUGUUCAUUAUCAACUAGUGGAGUGGAUAACUGAUUUGGGUUUUUUGUGAAAGGAGGGAUUGAAAGUGCUUUCUUGUUCUUGAUCAAACUCAAGGUUGGGGCAAGUGAAGAUGACUCUGUGUAAUGUGUUUAAAUUUAUACUUCUGGAUGAUUUUGUUAAUGUCACUGUAACAUAAAACUAUAAAUUUAUUCCAUACGAAAAAAAGAAAAUCAGCACAGCAUUGACAAUCCAAAUGUAACUGCAAAUAUGGUCAACACUUCAGGGGACAAAUCAAAAUGGAGAGUGGAACAAGAGUUAAAAUCAUCACUUUUUCCCACUUUCUUUUAUUGCUCGUAUUUGACUAGUAAAGUUGCAAGAUGGUCCAUCCUACAGGCUCCUGACCUCCCUGUUCUUAGUGUAUUUAUUUCAUAAGAAUUGCAACUGUAGAUUCUUUCUCUGCCCCUUUGAAAUGUAAUUCUUCUCCCAGCUUCUUACUAGUUUUACAACCCAGGAUCAUCUUUCUCAAGGACCAGGGAGCUAUACCUUUGAAGUGUAAUCAUCAAAAAAGGCAAUAUUCUGAUCUCCCAUUCUCUGUGGGAACAUAGGAGCCUAAUUCAAUUAAUGCCUAUCAGCAAAAGCAGAUACCUCAUCGCACUGAACAGCCUUCCCCUAAUGUCCUCCAGGACUUUCUCACUGGCUCAGCCCAGCACUUAAAAACUCUUCCCCCUUUUUUCUCUAUGGAGUUCAAUUCAAUCUCUCUCUCCUAUUGCAGUAGUUCAGAAUAAAGUCUUCCUGGCCUGCUCAAUUCUGCUCAGUUAACAAUAGAGGGAACUGUGUUAAGUACAUCCAUCAAUUCUUUGUAUCUUUCUUGCAACUUUUUCUGAGUCUGAAAUUUAUUUUAUUUUAUUAUAUAUGUAUAAUACAAUAGUAUCUAUAUAUAAAAUAAUUUAUAAAAAUCUCUCCCCUACUGAUCUUACUCAUUAGUUAAAAAACUGGUAAAGAAAAGAUUAAGUAUUUCUUCAGCAAAUUGCUUCUUAUAUAAACCAUGACUAGACUGAUGUAAUAAUUGAUAAGUAAAAAUUACUGUUUAUAGAAAUCUUCUGGCCAAUAAAUAAAAAUGAGCAUGAUCCAAAUAUCACUAAUUUUCUAUGGGUGUUGAGUUGAUGGACAGUGCUAAUGAUCAUCAAUUGCUGUUAACACUAUAAAAAUGAAACACUAGACAUUAAAUAUCUGAAUGCAAUUACACAGCCCUUUUAUAAAAUAGUAGGGCUUUUCUUCCCAAAACAAAUCCAAUCUGAUUCUUACCAAGUCUCUAUCUUGUUAUCAAUACACGAGAAAUAAAAAAAAUAGAAGAACAUGUCCUACACCAACACAGAUAUGCCAUCAGCAAAGCCAGGACUGCAGAAAACCCCAAAGGUUUUUUAGCAACACAAUCCAGUUUCCUUCACAACAUAAACAACAAUAAGAACAAUACAGAUUAGAGAGGCAUCAACCAGUCACAGCAGUGAACCCCUAUCUAAUCGGCUUUAAAAAUAUGUAACAAUCAGGGAAAUGAGAAAUUAUUGUCAAAUAGAGAUUAUGUUAUAAAAACUGUGUUUGCCUUUUAGAGAUUUACACUGAAAAUUUACAGAUUAAAUCAUGUAUCUGAAAUCAUCUGGACUGGAGAAUUAAUACACCCUGUACCUGGGUGAUGGGCGCAAGGCAAUCCACCAAACUCUGUACUACUUGAUGUAUAAAAUUUUCUUCCAUAGCAGAAAGUUAAAGAAUAUAAAAACACUGCUCUCUCCAUUAGUCACUGGGUACAAGAGAACAUGAUUAAAGAGCUGCUUUACUGAGCCAGUCAUAGUAAGAA